rnacentral:rRNA from 1 species
CUAAUACAUGCAAGUAGAACGCACAGGAUGCACCGUAGUUUACUACACCGUAUUCUGUGAGUUGCGAACGGGUGAGUAACGCGUAGGUAACCUGCCUGGUAGCGGGGGAUAACUAUUGGAAACGAUAGCUAAUACCGCAUAAGAACAUUUACUGCAUGGUAGAUGUUUAAAGGGUGCAAAAGCAUCACUACCAGAUGGACCUGCGUUGUAUUAGCUAGUUGGUGAGGUAACGGCUCACCAAGGCAACGAUACAUAGCCGACCUGAGAGGGUGAUCGGCCACACUGGGACUGAGACACGGCCCAGACUCCUACGGGAGGCAGCAGUAGGGAAUCUUCGGCAAUGGGGGGAACCCUGACUGAGCAACGCCGCGUGAGUGAAGAAGGUUUUCGGAUCGUAAAGCUCUGUUGUUAAGGAAGAACGUGUGUGAGAGUGGAAAGUUCACACAGUGACGGUACUUAACCAGAAAGGGACGGCUAACUACGUGCCAGCAGCCGCGGUAAUACGUAGGUCCCGAGCGUUGUCCGGAUUUAUUGGGUGUAAAGCGAGCGCAGGCGGUAGAUAAGUCUGAAGUGAAAGGCAGUGGCUCAACCAUUGUAGGCUUUGGAAACUGUUUAACUUGAGUGCAGAAGGGGAGAGUGGAAUUCCAUGUGUAGCGGUGAAAUGCGUAGAUAUAUGGAGGAACACCGGUGGCGAAAGCGGCUCUCUGGCCUGUAACUGACGCUGAGGCUCGAAAGCGUGGGGAGCGAACAGGAUUAGAUACCCUGGUAGUCCACGCCGUAAACGAUGAGUGCUAGGUGUUAGGUCCUUUCCGGGACUUAGUGCCGCAGCUAACGCAUUAAGCACUC